AACGAACGCUGGCGGCGUGGAUAAGACAUGCAAGUCGAGCGAUCAUUAGCGGGUAGCAAUAUUUGCUAGUGGGAGCGGCGCAAGGGUGCGUAACACGUGGGUAAUCUGCCAUGAAGUUUGGGAUAAUCCCGCGAAAGCGGGACUAAUACCGGAUGUGACCAUUGGGAGGCCUCUUUUGAUGGUUAAAGUUGGGGACCGUAAGGCCUGACGCUUCAUGAUGAGCCCGCGGCCUAUCAGCUAGUUGGUGAGGUAACGGCUCACCAAGGCUAAGACGGGUAGCUGGUCUGAGAGGACGACCAGCCACACUGGAACUGAGACACGGUCCAGACACCUACGGGUGGCUG
rnacentral:rRNA from 1 species